AUCACUGCUAUGCUCCUGAUCAGGAAAUGUCUUGCUGCUAUCAGAUUUUCCUGAGAUGGGAAACAACAGAGCUGGGCCAGGCCAGGUCCCGGUCCCAGAGGAGAAAGCAUGGAGAGUGAGCAGCCCGGGUGUGAGUGUGCCCUUAGCUCUCCAGUGACUCCCCACAGGGCAGAUCGAUAAUCAUAACCCACUCUCUGGCCCCUAACGCGAGUUGACAUUGAGCCUGGUUGGUGAUGUUUCUCAUUUUGUCUGAUGGACAUUGUCAGGGGAGAAACUGGUGCAGGGGAAUGAAAAGGGUGACAGUAGUUUAGUCUAGAGGCCAAUGUGAAGGCCUCUGAGGGAGAUGUUACAGUCACUAUAUUCUAAGCGAAGGUAUGUAGCCAUUUGUAUUCUCUACUAGAGCAGGCUGGCUCAUCUCUUUACAAAAGGCACUCCCAAGGGGUCGAAUAUGCCUAGGACAACCCCCUGCCCAUGGGGGAUUUUUUUUUGUGGUUUCAUUAUUUGAAAGCAUAGUGUUGCAUGGCAUGCUGUGAAAGUUCCCCAAAUCAUUCUAGACCCUGGCUGUUUUGUUUCACGAGGGCCUGGGGAAGUCCAGGAUGUGACUCAGAGGGAGAAGGGCUGCUCAGCUCCGUGUUUGGGGAGGAGAACUGUGAUCGCAGAUUCUUCUGUCUACCUCCAUUUCCUGCCACGCACCCUACUCGCGAGACCCAGAAACACAUUUUGAACAUGGCGCCCAAGACCACAGCUUGGCCGCUGAUAGGUUACCCCGACUCCAGGAAAGCGCAUGUGCACACUGAACCUGUGCUGGAGCCCUGGGCGGCGCUAAGCUUGAUCUGCAUAACAACAUGGUGGCCUUGGCCUACUAACAAGGGUCAGUACUGGCCGCCAAAGUGUGUGGCAGUGGUGGCAGUGACAUCGUGGCCCCCAACUCACCUCGCCCCUCCUCCAGCCGGGGUCAACACCGAAACAUCAGACAUCGAAGCAGCGGCGGCCUCCCAACAUCAAGAGGAAUCUUUCCACAGGAAGAAGAGGUUAGAGGUCUGA
rnacentral:lncRNA from 1 species